UACGUAGGGUCCGAGCGUUGUCCGGAAUUACUGGGCGUAAAGAGCUCGUAGGUGGUUUGUCGCGUUGUUCGUGAAAACUCACAGCUCAACUGUGGGCGUGCGGGCGAUACGGGCAGACUGGAGUACUGCAGGGGAGACUGGAAUUCCUGGUGUAGCGGUGGAAUGCGCAGAUAUCAGGAGGAACACCAGUGGCGAAGGCGGGUCUCUGGGCAGUAACUGACGCUGAGGAGCGAAAGCGUGGGGAGCGAACAGG
rnacentral:rRNA from 1 species